UACGUAGGGUCCGAGCGUUAAUCGGAAUUACUGGGCGUAAAGCGUGCGCAGGCGGUUUUGUAAGCCAGAUGUGAAAGCCCCCGGGCUUAACCUGGGAAUGGCAUUUGGGACUGCAAGGCUGGAGUACGGCAGAGGGAGGUGGAAUUCCAGGUGUAGGCAGUGGAAAUGCGUAGAUAAUCAGGAGGAACACCGGUGGCGAAGGCGGUUCUCGUGGGC
rnacentral:rRNA from 1 species